GGUCCGUUGGUCAAGCGGUUAAGACGCCGCCCUCUCACGGCGGAAUCAGGGGUUCGAUUCCCCUACGGACUGC
rnacentral:tRNA from 1 species